rnacentral:rRNA from 1 species
AGAGUUUGAUCCUGGCUCAGGACGAACGCUGGCGGCGUGCCUAACACAUGCAAGUCGAACGGAAAACAUAGCAAUAUGUUUUUAGUGGCGAACGGGUGAGUAACGCGUAGACAACCAACCUUUUUGUGGGGGACAACACUUCGAAAGGAGUGCUAAUACCGCAUACGCUCCAGAUGCCGCCUGGCAUUUGGAGGAAAGGAGCUGUAAGGCUUCGCAAAAAGACGGGUCUGCGUCUGAUUAGCUAGUUGGAGGGGUAACGGCCCACCAAGGCGACGAUCAGUAGCCGGUCUGAGAGGAUGGACGGCCACACUGGGACUGAGACACGGCCCAGACUCCUACGGGAGGCAGCAGUGGGGAAUCUUCCGCAAUGGACGAAAGUCUGACGGAGCGACGCCGCGUGAGUGAUGAAGGCCCUUGGGUCGUAAAGCUCUGUCAUCAGGGACGAACGGUCACGUCAGGAAAUGGGCGUGAAUUGACGGUACCUGAGAAGGAAGCCACGGCUAACUACGUGCCAGCAGCCGCGGUAAU